rnacentral:rRNA from 1 species
UACAUAGGUCCCAAGCGUUGUUCGGAUUCAUUGGGCGUAAAGGGCGUGCAGGCGGCGCCGUAAGUCGGGUGUGAAAUUUCGGAGCUUAACUCCGAAACUGCAUUCGAUACUGCGGUGCUUGAGGACUGGAGAGGAGACUGGAAUUCAUGGUGUAGCAGUGAAAUGCGUAGAGAUCAGGAGGAAGACCAGUGGCGAAGGCGGGUCUCUGGACAGUUCCUGACACUGAGACACGAAGGCCAGGGGAGCAAACGGG